GCCCAAUUCAAGGAACUUCCGAGUAUACUUUUAAUUGACAAGUUUUCUUGAACUAACUGUGCAAACUCUAUUUCUUUUAGGUGUUGAAGGUGCUCCGGAAGGUACUUAGCAUUGAAGGCCAUUAAAAACUAUUCCCAUGUGACAGGAAUGGAAAAAGUAGCCUGUUUGAGUUGCCACCAAUGUCAUACCUCACCCACGAACAUAUAUAUGGCAAAGAUGACCUUCUAUUCGAGAUUCACCCCAAGUGUCACGAAAGCCUUCUCGGUAUCUACCAAUCAGUACUUGACUUUCUCAAAAGUAAAUGAUCAUGUAAAAAUAGAUGAGUUAAAUCUCUUGUACCAUUCGAUGUAACCCGAGUCUAUCAUGGGUGGAGUUAGGUCCUACUAGAGGGGAACUAGAUUAUACUGAAGAGGGGCUGUGGAGGCACUGGAUUGUA
rnacentral:lncRNA from 1 species